rnacentral:rRNA from 1 species
UACGUAGGGUGCAAGCGUUUAAUCGGAAUUACUGGGCGUAAAGCGCACGUAGUCGGCCUUGCAAGUCGGGUGUGAAAUCCCCGGGCUCAACCUGGGAACUGCAUCCGAGACUGCAUUGCUAGAGUAUGGGAGAGGGAAGCGGAAUUUCUGGUGUAGCAGUGAAAUGCGUAGAUAUCAGAAGGAACAUCAGUGGCGAAGGCGGCUUCCUGGACCAAUACUGACGAUCAGGUGCGAAAGCGUGGGGAGCAAACAGG